GGGGCACAGGCCUGUGGGUGCCCAGGAGCCACCGCCCAUGAGGCCCUUCCUGCAGGCUCCUCCCGGCCUGGCAGCCUCAGUGACUUGGGAGGGGUCAGGCCCAGGGCUGAACAGGCCAGGGCUUACCCACACCCCUGUCACCUGCCGUGUGACCCAGGACCAUGACUCUACCUCUUGGUGCCUGUCUCCUUUCCCUUGGGAGGGUGAGUGCCAAUGGCUGUGGCACCCACAUCACCCGUUCUGGGGGCCACGGCACUCUGGGUUUCUCAGACCCCCAGCUCCCCAGCUCCCCUUCUCCAUGGGGCCACCUCUCACCCCAGCCCUGCCUGCCUAGUCUGCCACCAACUUCAGGCCUCAGCACAAAUGUCCCUCCCUCGGGGAUGCCUUCCCAGACAGGAUGAAACCGAGGCAUAGAGUGGUGGGCAGAAGACCACUCCAAGAGUGAGCGAUGGUGGGACUGGAACCUCAGGGGCCUCAGACGGCUGUCACCUGCUGCAGCUGCACAGGCACAGAGCCCAGGACCCCUUCCUUAUCUGGAAUUUGGAGAUGGCAAUCCUCUUUCCCUCCUGCGGUGGCCGUGAGGACUGAAUGGGGCGAUAGGGCAGCACAUCUCGGCUGACAUUUCUCACUGCCCAAAGACCCCACACACAGCCUCUUCUGCUACAUCCCAACCAGCACCCCCUUCUGAAGUCCCUGCACUAACCACACCACCCACCGCCCAUGACCACCCGGCCAGCAGGCUGGCCCAGCGGGGGUCCUGGGGCUUUGCCAUGCUCCCCCAUAGCCCACAGACACAGCCCAGCUCUCGAUGGAGUGCUGGCUUGUGGGAGAGCUGUGGCCAAGAACUAGGCUCCCACCCCCUUGAGCUGUGUGACCCUGGGUGAGCUACUUCCAUCUCUGGGCCUCUGGCCUCACGUCUGUAAAAUGGGAUAAUGGGGUGCUUUUGCAGCAGUGCGCUGUGGGGAUGGUGUUCAAAACUUCCCUGGGCUGGGGGCUGGCCUUUCUCAGUGCUUCUGCAGCAGUGCAGCGCUGAGCAUGGCUGGCCUAUGCAGGGCUGGAGACCACCUCCUUUAGCCCCUCAUUUUGUAGAAGAGGAAGCAGUGGCUGAAAGAAGGCAGGGCCUUGCCUAAAGCUGCCCCCACAGAGCUUUGGGGCCUUCCCUCCCUCUGCUUGCCUUGUGGCUGCUGUGUGGAGAUGAGCAUGCCACCUACCUACAGACCCCAUGCGCGGCCCUCCCCCACCCCACCCCACCCCACCCCACCCCACCCAGUCUGGCA
rnacentral:lncRNA from 1 species